UCCACGUCGGGCACAACGUGUGUGAGCAGUUCUCCGAUUGCUUACACUAGUAUUACUCGGUCGUUGUCGUUUUCUUCUGUAACAUUGCGAGUGUCAUUCCUUAGAGUACCCACAAGAAAUGUGGACUCCCUGGAAAGAGACAUUUAAUGGUAAAAAGAGAGGGGACGGUGUAUCCUGAGGGUGCAAACAUAAUGGACAAUGAUGACGUAUAUGGCAUCACAACCACCACAUUGCUUU